UAUUUCUCUGUUCUAUGUGUGUUCUACAUAUUUUAAUCAGCAUCUGGUUUUCGUCGAACCAUCUAACAAACUUCUAGAGAAUAUUUUUGAAGAAAUAGUGACAAAAAGAAAUAAAAUAAAAACGACCCAAGAAUGUGGGCGCUAUUGACAUUGUUCGCCGUUAUCGGAAGAAUUGUGACACAGUCGGCGCCAUGUGAUUUGGUUAGUAGUGUAGAAUUAAAGAAUAGAACAUAUAAUGGCGUGCGUUACAAAGAAGGAGAGUUUUUCUAUGACAAUGUGACGAACACAGAAAGGGGUUGUAUUUGCAUGAAAGAGAUCUGUGUACGCAAAUGCUGUGACCGUGGCUUCGUUUACAACGACACCGAAAAUGUUUACGAAUGUCAACCAGAGUCACAACCCAAUGAGUUUAAUCGCCAUCUAGAAGUAUACCAAGGGUCUAGUUACCUCGCAUCACGAGGAGCAUUCGAACCUACGAAACACUUUCGUUUUAUAUACGGCAAAAUGGAUUGUGACCGUAUACCAAAUAGUGUGAUAGUCGGUCUAAAGGCAAGGAACCUCCCCCGAUUGUUUACGGAUGGUAAGCUGUAUGUGAAAAUCGAGACUUCUGUCAAGGUGUUGAUUUAUGAAGCAGACAAGUACUGCAUCGACACGUUCGUCUCGGACACCGAGGGACCACACCUCAAUGCGCUCAUCUGCUUCGUAGCGACGCCCGAACGCAACAAUUAUACUAUGAGCAGUAGUUGUAUGCUGAUAUCCUGUUUCUUCAUUCUCCUGACGGUAGCAGUAUACGCAUGGCUGCCAGAACUGAGGAACCUUCAUGGCAUGGUGCUGAUGGCAUACUUACUCUGUUUCUUCGUCGGUUUCCUGUUCCUAGCCACCAUGCAGAUCCUCAUCCUAAAGCUACAGAUAACUGAAGAAAUCUGUAUUGUAUUAACUUUCAUCGUGUACUUCUCCCUUCUGGCAGCGUUCUUCUGGUUAAACGUGAUGUGCUACGACAUCUGGUGGACGUUCAGUGGCAAACGAGCUCAUGGCCGUAGUGGUACACAAAACAAGAGGUUUUUGUGUUAUGCCAUCUACGCGUUUGGAGUGCCCACGAUCCUGACCAUCAAUUUGGCAGCUCUCGAAUUCUCCAACAUUCCUUUGCAUCCUCUAUUGCCUAAACUUAGGUUACAAGGCUGUUUCUUAUACGGAAACAGCAAAUUACUGUAUUUGUAUGGACCAAUUGUGAUCCUCUGUGUGGCAAACCUGAUAUUCUUCACGCUGACUGCCUUCAAAAUAGCAAAAAUUAAAAGAGAAACCAAAAUGCUACGAGACAAGGAGAGCUCCACACAUGACCAAGACAGAAAGGACACCCAAAGUUUGAAAUUAAAAUGUUCCAGGUUCACUCUCUACGUCAAGUUGUUCACUGUCAUGGGCAUCAACUGGAUCUUGGAGGUGGUCAGCUCCUUCUACCCCGAGGCUGACUGGUACUGGCAGUUCUCUGACGCUUACAACGUGCUCGUCGGUCUAAUCAUCUUCAUUAUCUUCGUCUGUAAGAAGAAGACUUGGCGAAUGAUCAAGAAGAGGAUCAAAAAUUAUCAACGUUCCAAAACUACCAACGUUCCAAAUAACACACAGAGAGACAGUAGAGAGAUAAAUGCCAACAACAGACAACUAGCCCAAUGGAGAUCUCAACCAGAGAGAACAUCUAGUUUGGAAACCGUUAGAACAACGGAUGGAGAAAGAAGUUUAAGAAGCAACAAAUCUGUUAAUGUAAAUCCUCAAUAGUCAAGUCAACGAAGUAGAAACUCCUGCACUGACAGCACCAAACAAUUAUACAAAAGAUAAUAAGCAAAAGCAGAAGUUAUGAUAAAUUAAAUUGACAAUACUAUAAUUAAUAGAAACAGCAACAGAGGCUGGAGUCCAAGGCUCAACGCUACACAGGAACAAGACUGGAAACAAUAUUAACAAAGACGUUAAACAAAUUAAUCUUAAGGCAGAAAUGGAAUGUUUGGAAUAUAGUACGAGUGAAAAGAUACAGACAAUUGCGGGGCGAUACUUCAAAGUCUGGGACGCAGACCACGGUAUCCUCUACUCGGACACAUUCCACAUCACGCGAUGAUAUGCAGAUGCACUCUAUUAAGAAGUAAAUAAGUUUCAAAAUCCAAGAGUCAUUUGAAAGUUAAAAGCGCAUGUGAAACAGAAACGCUAUCGUCAUAAUGAAAAAAGACGUAAUUGUACUUCAGAAUUCACUAUCGUAUAAUAAAUAAGGUCUACCCCAUAUUUGAAGGUCGCUUAGAGGUUUAUCUUCCAAAAUAUAUUCAACAAACUUUACCGGAUGAUAAAAAUUACAAAAUGUCAUAUAACAUUAUGGGACAACCGAUAAAAAUAUUUUCAAACAAAAAAAAAAUAAAACGCUUUAAAAAAAAUCGAAGUUUUAAAAUAUUAGUUGCGUCUUUAUUCUUUAUGGCGGCAGUACCUAUGUGCAAUUGUGCAUAGUGACAAGAAAUUUUAAAAUUUUAUAUGUUCAAUUGUCCACUAUGCUUCUGAUAUUGCAAUUUUUGUCAAUAUGUAAACACUACCUAUAAACAUAAUCAUAGUUAAGUUAAAUGAGAGCUGUAAUCAAACCUACUAUAAUUUUAGUCAACUCAUUCUAAUAUAUGGGAGAUAGGAGAUAUCUCACUUACAAUGUGUCGGUGAAAGUGAGAUUCUCCUACUGAGACUAUUACUUACUUACCUCUGGGAUAUGGGCAAUAAUAUGACGGUAGCAAAACAAUAGAUUGUUCGUAUGAUGAUUGUACGAAUAAAAUUACUGUAUAUUUCGUAAAUUGCACUGUUACUUUAAUUAAGCUACUACACUGAGAAGAAAUGCCGAAACGAACUUAGAGGUCUCAGUCGCUUUCAAAGUGCAAACAUGGUUAACGAAGUACUUCUAAGAUAAUUCACUAUUACUAUGUCAAACUCAAUAUCAAUUUUGCAACACAAACGCCCGAAUACUGAAAGGCUACUCUAUUUUAAGUUGUACUUAAAUAUCGUGCUAACUUUGUCAUAUUAUAAAGAAUUGAUAGGGACAGAACUAGUUUUGAGAGCGACUUAAAAUUGAGUAACGUUUGAGUAUUCGGAGAUGAUUCUAAUAAUUGCAAUCACUGAAGGCUAAUCAACUAACAACAUUCCCAGUAAGGAGUGGCUCGGUCGGAGUCCAAGUUCAGAGUAUCUCCCAGUGGAGCAACAUUGAAUCGACAACCGCAAUCUCCUCCCUUCGACGAACGUGACGUCACACGGAACCGUCAAAGCGCGACACCUUCCCGUUCUCUAAUCACUUGAGUCACAAUGACCCUUCUUACAUUAUUAUAGGUACACAAAUAAAAUAAUAUCUAGGAUUAAAUGAAAAAUCCAGAUCCUAAGUAUGAUCAUUAAAACUUAAUACGGGAUAUUUACAAUGUUUUCUAUAUCGGAAACUCAUAAUAACUAAUAAACAUGGUAAAUAUCCCGUUUUAAGUUCUAAUGAUAUUACUAGUGACCAUGUCAGUUUAAAAAAACCCUAAGUAUUGUUAAAAAAACACAAAAGGAAACUGUUUGUCCUCGCACCCUGUAUGUGAAAUGCUUGGCUCUCUGUUUCACGAACGCCUAAAGAUCGGUUAAAACAAUGAGUGUAAUCUUGUCUAUAAAAUACUUUUUAUGUAAAAGUACCGUAGCUCUCUCAAGAGUUAAGAAAAUUAACAAAAUGUGCCUAAAACUUGCCUUGACAUAAUGUUUUUUCUUGUUUUUGCGUUUGUUCAAUUAAAUUUUGUCACGAAAAUUUUGUUUUUGUUAAAAAAGUAAAGUAAACCUUGGCAAGAUAAAGAGAACUGAACGUUCUGUUCAAACAUAGUUUUUGACGUUAAUUAUUUUUAUCAUAAAUUAAUAUAACAUUGUUAUUGAAAUUGCUAAAUCGGAACUUUUUCAACGUUUUCAAUUAUACUGAUAUUUGACAUUCAAAUGCUAUGUUUAAUUAAUGUAUAAAUAUCAAGCACAUUAUGUACUGCAUGUGUUUUACACCUCAAUGUAUUUAAAUGAAGAGCUUAAUAAAAAAAAUUAUAUGAUAGCUUUAUUAUAACUUUCGUGAGACAUACUAAAUUAAUUAAUAAUAUAAUCAGCUUACUCACGUAACUGUUUGACGAGGAACCCGACUAGUUUCAAACCAUUCCGUAACAAUCGCAGCACGACAAUCGCCGCGUCGUAUCCUCAUCAAACAGCUACGUGAGUAAACCGAUAAAAUAAUAAUUAAUUCAUAUGAUAGCAUUUAUUAGUUAUAAAAUUUCGUAAUAAUAAUGCCAUAAUUGUUAUUAUUAUUUUUAGUCAAAUAAAUUUAAUGUAAGUUUAUGAAAAAUAUUUAUGCUGUGGUCGUUGCAGACUCCCACCUUUUUGAACUAGUACUUAUCUAAAAAUCUGUUUACGGUAAUAAUACAGACAACAUUUAGUUUCUUUUUGCAAUAAAUUUUUGUUAAACUUAUUUUAGUGCCUGUUUAUAUAGAUAUGUACCCCUCUAAACUUACGCGACAGAUAGUUUAUGCAAAUUACGUUUUAAUUCAAAUUUAUCUUAUACACAGCAGCAUGCCACACAUCGUGUAACGGGCCUUUAGUGGGUUUAGAAACACCUAUAUCAGUAAACAUUUCUUUUUUUCCAUUCAAUAAUUUUCGAAAAUAUUUUCCUAUAUAUAAAUCACUGUUCUAUACAUACUAUAUAUAAGUAUACUUGUUUUAAUAUUUUUUCUUGUAAUUUGAGAAAUCUAUGAAAUGUUUUGACAUAACAAACUCUUGUUUUGUUAUAUGUGUAGUAUACAAUAGGAAUUUUAUAAUAUACAUAAACAUUUCUACUGUCAUGAUGUUUUCAUUUAAAAAAAGUGUAACAAAUAAUGUGUUACAAUAAAAAUAAUUUAACCACUCGUUGGUUAUGUAUAUGAUCUCAAACAGAUGGCUGCUAAGCUGCUAAAUAAAGCACCUACGUUGUAAUUUGAAACUUAUGAACAAUACAAGCUUAAAACGAUUUUCAAUUCUAUUAUCUUAUUAUUAGAAUGAUAUUUUGAAUGAAACAGCAUUUGAUAUAAGUUUCAAAUUAAUCACCGUACAGGUGCAAUUUGAAGAACAGAGACACUAUUUAAUGAUUUUAUUACAAAGUAUUAAAACAUAAUGUAAUCAAAGACAUUUUUUUAAACAGAUAUAUUUCGAGUACUGUUAUUUCUAUUUUAGAGGUAGCUAUAAAGCUAAUAGGAUUAUAUUAUCUAAGAAAAGUCAAAACAUAUUUAAACACAAUUUUUGUCUUGUUUCGUAUUAAGAUGCAAUAUAAUUAUUUAGUGCGUACAUACAUAAUGUAGGUAGGUUUAUCACAAAAGCAAAUAUAGAAGAACAAAUAUUACUGACUAAUAAAUGUAUUUUGUGAAAA